UGGCGGACGGGUGAGUAAUGUCUGGGAAACUGCUGAUGGAGGGGAUAACUACUGGAAACGGUAGCUAAUACCGCAUAACGUCGCAAGACCAAAGAGGGGGACCUUCGGGCCUCUUGCCAUCGGAUGUGCCCAGAUGGGAUUAGCUAGUAGGUGGGGUAACGGCUCACCUAGGCGACGAUCCCUAGCUGGUCUGAGAGGAUGACCAGCCACACUGGAACUGAGACACGGUCCAG
rnacentral:rRNA from 1 species